rnacentral:rRNA from 1 species
GUGUCAGCCGCCGCGGUAAUACGUAGGCAGCAAGCGUUGUUCGGAGUUACUGGGCGUAAAGAGUGCGUAGGCGGUUCCGCAAGUUUGUUGUGAAAUCUCCCGGCUUAACUGGGAGGGUGCGGCGAAAACUGCGGGGCUGGAGUGUGGGAGAGGUAAGCGGAAUUCCUGGUGUAGCGGUGAAAUGCGUAGAUAUCAGGAGGAACACCGGCGGUGUAGACGGCUUACUGGACCAUGACUGACGCUGAGGCACGAAAGCGUGGGGAGCAAACAGGAUUAGAUACCCUGGUAGUCCACGCCCUAAACGAUGCACACUUGGUGUGAGCGAUUCAUUUCGUUCGUGCCGGAGCUAACGCGUUAAGUGUGCCGCCUGGGGAGUACGGUCGCAAGGCUGAA